ACCCAAAACCCCUUCCCUUCUCCUUCACUUUCACGUGAACCAGGACCCUCAACCCUCAACCUCAUUGUUGCUUCCGCCACGCCGCCAAACCAGUCGUCGGAGACCACCGUUGUCCCUCACCGCAGCUUCAAACGCCGGUAACUCCUCCAUCUCUUGCUUCAUUGUUCUUGCUUCUCCUUCGUUCUUAUUCUUAUCCUCUUGGUUGUUUUUGUUGCUCUCUGCCGCCACCACCACUGCGCAACUGGUUGCGCCGCACCAUCACAGCCACCGUGCACUGUUGCUGCACCGCCCAACUCGCCAACCAACGUUUUCCAUCAUCCUCUUUCUUGUUUCUUCAUUUUCACGACAGCAGCCAAGCACGACUAAGUGCGACCACCGUAGUCACCACCACCAGGCUCCAGCCGCGUCGCCCGUUCCCCGCGACCACCGCCCUGUGCCGCGCCGCCUGUGCUCCGCCGGCCAGCCUCCUCUCUCCUCUUUAAUUCUUGGUGGAGAAUUCUCCGUAGGCGACUUUUGAAUUAUUAAAGUGGUCUUGCAGUUUGUUUACACAAGUCUCUAAGGAUCAAUAAGCAUUGUCCAUCUGCAGGUUUGAAGAUGUUGCAUCAUUGGGAUCGGGAAUAGAGAGCUUGUAUUUAGUUUUGAUUUGCUAAGUUGACUUGGGUUUGUUUAAUUGGACUUUAAACUGGUCGUACUAUUUAUAUUUCCUUAUUUUUUUGUUUAUUGGUUUUUGGGAUUAAACCUGUAAUCGAUUAUUUAUAAACCUAAAAUUAGUUUUA